rnacentral:rRNA from 1 species
UACGAAGGGAGCUAGCGUUGUUCGGAAUUACUGGGCGUAAAGCGCACGUAGGCGGAUUGCUAAGUCAGGGGUGAAAUCCCGGGGCUCAACCUCGGAACUGCCUUUGAUACUGACAAUCUCGAGUCCGAUAGAGGUGGGUGGAAUUCCUAGUGUAGAGGUGAAAUUCGUAGAUAUUAGGAAGAACACCGGUGGCGAAGGCGGCCCACUGGAUCGGUACUGACGCUGAGGUGCGAAAGCCAGGGGAGCAAACGGG